rfam:Xenorhabdus innexi strain HGB1681 (deposited as PTA-6826 in the American Type Culture Collection) genome assembly, scaffold: XIS1_scaffold1
UUUCCGGCCACAGUUUACUAAACUAUGAAUGGCAGAUUGAAAUAUUGUUUGUUAUCUGUUUGUUUGAACAAAAACGCAGCAAUGGCGUAAGACGUAAUGUUUAAUCAAACAAUUUAUGGGCUGUGAGUUGCUACUUACUGGAUUGGGUAAAACCUGUACUAAAUUUAUUACAGUAUCCCCCAACAAAGAGCGCUGCGUUUCUUACAAAGAAAUGAAAUUCAGGCUUGCCGACAAUUAGGCGCCUCUAUACAAACGAUAGCCGUGAGGCUGACGGUUUUGUAAAAGACACGAGGCCAUCGGUUACCAGUAGUGCUCUUUUUUUACUCAUGGCUCUAUACUAA